rnacentral:lncRNA from 1 species
GCACCAAAGAGAACAAAAAUUUAUGAAUCAGCAAGCUAAUUUAUUUAAACACCAAAACGGUGAGUUUUAUCUAGUUGCUUCUCUCCUUCUCCAUCGGUUCUCUGUCCUCUAUCCUUUUGCCAUCUUCUUCUCUCCUUCAACAGUCAUUCCUUUCAUGUAUACACAAUCGAAACAAAUAUUCCCUAUUGAUUCGAUGGAUCCAUGAAGACGGUACCGAGCCUUCGAAUCGUCUUCCUUAGUAGUGGGAGAAGAAAUCAAAUUAUAGGAAUCAAAUCUAUCGAGAGAGUGUAAUAUUACUAUUUGAAUCUGGAAAACUAUAUUUGAUAAUCUCUUGAACCUUUUCUUUUUUCUUUUUUUUUUCCAGGAGAGUGUUUUUCCGAUUUUCGGGACCUAAAAUUGAAAAAUCACAACAAAGUGUUUGAACGUUAAAAAAUUGAAAGCAGUUUUUGUUUAUGAAUUUUAGGGUUUCAAUCGGGAGAGUUAGAAUUCCAAUUAGGAUCGUUGGAUUCAUGGUGGUAUUGGCAAUAGUAGUUCUGAUUUUGACGGAAAAAAAGUGAUGGAAAGGCUAGGCGAGAAGUUGAGAAUAGAAGUGACGAUGAAGGAGUGGCCAUAGUGUCAGGGUAUUCCAUCGGGU